rnacentral:rRNA from 1 species
AGUGAACGCUGGCGAUAGGCCUAACACAUGCAAGUCGAACGGCAGCACGGUAGGAGGUUGCUGUUGCGGAGGGGGGGUGGGGGGCGGGUUAGGACUGCACCUGAAUCGACUUUUUCGUUGGGGCUAACGUAGGGAGACUAACGCUAAUACCGCAUACCACCUGAGGGUGAAAGCAGGUGAUCUUCGGCCCUUGCGCGAUUGAAUGAGCCGAUGUCGGAUUAGCUAGUUGGUGGGGUAAAGGCCCACCAAGGCGACGAUCCGUAGCUGGUGUGAGAGGACGACCAGCCACACUGGGACUGAGACACGGCCCAGACUCCUACGGGAGGCAGCAGUGGGGAAUUUUGGACAAUGGGCGAAAGCCUGAUCCAGCAAUGCCGCGUGUGUGAAGAAGGCCUUCGGGUUGUAAAGCACUUUUGUCCGGAAAGAAAUCCUUGGCCCUAAUACGGUCGGGGGAUGACGGUACCGAAAGAAUAAGCACCGGCUAACUACGUG